UCCACGGUAGCCUAGUGUGCAUGGCAUCUGCCCAGUUAGCGGAACACUGUGGGUUCGAUUCCCAUCUCUGGAC
rnacentral:tRNA from 1 species